rnacentral:rRNA from 1 species
GGUUAAGCGACUAAGCGUACACGGUGGAUGCCUAGGCAGUCAGAGGCGAUGAAGGGCGUGCUAAUCUGCGAUAAGCGUCGGUAAGCUGAUAUGAAGCGUUAUACCCGACGAUACCCGAAUGGGGAAACCCAGUGUGUUUCGACACACUAUCAUUACGUGAAUACAUAGCGUAAUGAGGCGAACCGGGGGAACUGAAACAUCUCAGUACCCCGAGGAAAAGAAAUCAACCGAGAUUCCCCUAGUAGCGGCGAGCGAACGGGGAGGAGCCCAGAACCUGAAUCAGUUUGUGUGUUAGUGGAAGCGUCUGGAAAGUCGCACAGUAAAGGGUGAUAGUCCCGUACACAAAAAUGCACAAAUUGUGAGUUCGAUGAGUAGGGCGGGACACGUGACAUCCUGUCUGAAUAUGGGGGGACCAUCCUCCAAGGCUAAAUACUCCUGACUGACCGAUAGUGAACCAGUACCGUGAGGGAAAGGCGAAAAGAACCCCGGCGAGGGGAGUGAAAUAGAACCUGAAACCGUGUACGUACAAGCAGUGGGAGCCUUGAUUAAUCAGGGUGACUGCGUACCUUUUGUAUAAUGGGUCAGCGACUUAUAUUCUGUAGCAAGGUUAACCGUAUAGGGGAGCCGUAGGGAAACCGAGUCUUAACUGGGCGUUAAGUUGCAGGGUAUAGACCCGAAACCCGGUGAUCUAGCCAUGGGCAGGUUGAAGGUUGGGUAACACUAACUGGAGGACCGAACCGACUAAUGUUGAAAAAUUAGCGGAUGACUUGUGGCUGGGGGUGAAAGGCCAAUCAAACCGGGAGAUAGCUGGUUCUCCCCGAAAGCUAUUUAGGUAGCGCCUCGUGAAUUCAUCUUCGGGGGUAGAGCACUGUUUCGGCUAGGGGGUCAUCCCGACUUACCAACCCGAUGCAAACUACGAAUACCGAAGAAUGUUAUCACGGGAGACACACGGCGGGUGCUAACGUUCGUCGUGAAGAGGGAAACAACCCAGACCGCCAGCUAAGGUCCCAAAGUCAUGGUUAAGUGGGAAACGAUGUGGGAAGGCACAGACAGCCAGGAUGUUGGCUUAGAAGCAGCCAUCAUUUAAAGAAAGCGUAAUAGCUCACUGGUCGAGUCGGCCUGCGCGGAAGAUGUAACGGGGCUAAACCAUGCACCGAAGCUGCGGCAGCGACACUUAGGUGUUGUUGGGUAGGGGAGCGUUCUGUAAGCCGUCGAAGGUGGCCUGUGAGGGUUGCUGGAGGUAUCAGAAGUGCGAAUGCUGACAUAAGUAACGAUAAUGCGGGUGAAAAACCCGCACGCCGGAAGACCAAGGGUUCCUGUCCAACGUUAAUCGGGGCAGGGUGAGUCGACCCCUAAGGCGAGGCUGAAAAGCGUAGUCGAUGGGAAACAGGUUAAUAUUCCUGUACUCGGUGUUACUGCGAAGGGGGGACGGAGAAAGCUAGGUUAUCCGGGCGACGGUUGUCCCGGUUUAAGCGUGAAGGUGGAUGACUUUGGUAAAUCCGGGUCGUCAUUAACACUGAGGCGUGAUGACGAGUCACUACGGUGAUGAAGUAACCAAUGCUACGCUUCCAGGAAAAGCCUCUAAGCUCCAGGUAACAUCAAAUCGUACCCCAAACCGACACAGGUGGUCAGGUAGAGAAUACUCAGGCGCUUGAGAGAACUCGGGUGAAGGAACUAGGCAAAAUGGUGCCGUAACUUCGGGAGAAGGCACGCUGAUGGUAGGUGAAGUGACUUGCUCACGGAGCUGAAAUCAGUCGAAGAUACCAGCUGGCUGCAACUGUUUAAUAAAAACACAGCACUGUGCAAACACGAAAGUGGACGUAUACGGUGUGACGCCUGCCCGGUGCCGGAAGGUUAAUUGAUGGGGUCAGCCGCAAGGCGAAGCUCUUGAUCGAAGCCCCGGUAAACGGCGGCCGUAACUAUAACGGUCCUAAGGUAGCGAAAUUCCUUGUCGGGUAAGUUCCGACCUGCACGAAUGGCGUAAUGAUGGCCAGGCUGUCUCCACCCGAGACUCAGUGAAAUUGAACUCGCUGUGAAGAUGCAGUGUACCCGCGGCAAGACGGAAAGACCCCGUGAACCUUUACUAUAGCUUGACACUGAACCUUGAGCCUUGAUGUGUAGGAUAGGUGGGAGGCUUUGAAGCGUGGACGCCAGUCUGCGUGGAGCCAACCUUGAAAUACCACCCUUUAAUGUUUGAUGUUCUAACGUGGGCCCGUGAUCCGGGUUGCGGACAGUGUCUGGUGGGUAGUUUGACUGGGGCGGUCUCCUCCCAAAGCGUAACGGAGGAGCACGAAGGUUAGCUAAUCCUGGUCGGACAUCAGGAGGUUAGUGCAAAGGCAUAAGCUAGCUUGACUGCGAGAGUGACAGCUCGAGCAGGUGCGAAAGCAGGUCUUAGUGAUCCGGUGGUUCUGAAUGGAAGGGCCAUCGCUCAACGGAUAAAAGGUACUCCGGGGAUAACAGGCUGAUACCGCCCAAGAGUUCAUAUCGACGGCGGUGUUUGGCACCUCGAUGUCGGCUCAUCACAUCCUGGGGCUGAAGUAGGUCCCAAGGGUAUGGCUGUUCGCCAUUUAAAGUGGUACGCGAGCUGGGUUUAGAACGUCGUGAGACAGUUCGGUCCCUAUCUGCCGUGGGCGUUGGAAGAUUGAGAGGGGUUGCUCCUAGUACGAGAGGACCGGAGUGAACGCACCACUGGUGUUCGGGUUGUGAUGCCAAUUGCAUUGCCCGGUAGCUAAGUGCGGAAGAGAUAACCGCUGAAAGCAUCUAAGCGGGAAACUUGCCUCGAGAUGAGUCUUCCCUGGGCACUAGAUGCCCCUGAAGGGCCGUUGAAGACUACGACGUAGAUAGGCUGGGUGUGUAAGCGUAGCGAUACGUUGAGCUAACCAGUACUAAUGACCCGAGAGGCUUAACCUU